AAGGAAGUGGCAGAGUGGCUAUGCGGCUGGCUGAAACCAGCAUACGGGGUUUCAAUUCCUCCCUUUCUCG
rnacentral:tRNA from 1 species